AGUUCGUACGCACGCGCUUCGGCGCGUGAGUGGCGCACGGCUGAGUAACACGUGGGAACCCGCCCUCCGGUGGGGGAUAACGCGACGAAAGUCGCGCUAAUCCCGCAUACGUCCGCAAGGGGAAAGCGCUUCGGCGCGCCGGAGGAGGGGCCUGCGGCCCAUCAGGUGGUUGGUGGGGUAACGGCCUACCAAGCCGAUGACGGGUAGCUGGUCUGGGAGGAUGACCAGCCAGACUGGGACUGAGACACGGCCCAGACUCCUACGGGAGGCAGCAGCAAGGAAUUUUCGGCAAUGGGCGCAAGCCUGACCGAGCAACGCCGCGUGCGGGAUGACGGCCUUCGGGUUGUAAACCGCUUUUCGGGGGGACGACUACGACGGUACCCCCGGAAGAAGCCCCGGCUAACUCUGUGCCAGCAGCCGCGGUAAGACAGAKGGGGCGAGCGUUGUCCGGAGUUACUGGGCGUAAAGCGCGCGCAGGCGGUGGUCUCAGUGUCGUGUGAAAGCCCCCGGCUCAACCGGGGGAGGUCAUGGCAAACUAGAC
rnacentral:rRNA from 1 species